rnacentral:rRNA from 1 species
CAGUCGCCACGGUAAUACGUAGGGUGCAAGCGUUAAUCGGAAUUACUGGGCGUAAAGCGUGCGCAGGCGGUUCGUUAAGACAGAUGUGAAAUCCCCGGGCUUAACCUGGGAACUGCAUUUGUGACUGGCGGGCUAGAGUAUGGCAGAGGGGGGUAGAAUUCCACGUGUAGCAGUGAAAUGCGUAGAGAUGUGGAGGAAUACCGAUGGCGAAGGCAGCCCCCUGGGCCAAUACUGACGCUCAUGCACGAAAGCGUGGGGAGCAAACAGGAUUAGAUACCCGGGUAGUCCCUGUCUCUUAUAA